GAAUGUUAAAGCUCUUUUAGAAUUUGUCUCAUAGACUUUCUGGAAGAUCUUUACCAGAAAGCCUCC
ensembl:snRNA U7 U7 small nuclear RNA